GUGUCAGCCGCCGCGGUAAUACGUAGGGUGCGAGCGUUAAUCGGAAUUACUGGGCGUAAAGAGUGCGUAGGCGGUUCGCUGUGUCCGAUGUGAAAGCCCCGGGCUCAACCUGGGAAUGGCAUGGGAAACUGGCGAGCUUGAGUGUGGCAGAGGGGGGUGGAAUUCCGCGUGUAGCAGUGAAAUGCGUAGAGAUGCGGAGGAACACCGAUGGCGAAGGCAGCCCCCUGGGCCAACACUGACGCUCAGGCACGAAAGCGUGGGGAGCAAACAGGAUUAGAUACCCUCGUAGUCC
rnacentral:rRNA from 1 species